UUUUCAAUGGCUACUGUUAAAUUUAAAUCUGAACUAUACAACACUAAAUCAUCUGCAAAUUGAAAUCCGAUAUGAGAGAAAUGAAGCUAUCAACACAACUUCUUCCUCUGCGAAAUCCAUAUUGAAUGUGUGGAAUGACAUUAUUGGAUUCUGCAUACCAGUCAAGUCGAGAUUUCACCAUAUUUUCAAAUAUUUUUCCAAUACAUGAUGAUAACGAGAUUGGACGAUAAGAACUGAUCUGUUCAGGUGACUUAUCUGGUUUUAAUAUAGGUAUUACACAUUGA